UACGGAGGAUGCAAGUGUUAUCCGGAAUCACUGGGCGUAAAGCGUCUGUAGGUUGUUUAAUAAGUCAGCUGUUAAAUCUUGAGGCUCAACUUCAAAAUCGCAGUCGAAACUAUUAGACUAGAGUAUAGUAGGGGUAAAGGGAAUUUCCAGUGGAGCGGUGAAAUGCGUAGAGAUUGGAAAGAACACCGAUGGCGAAGGCACUUUACUGGGCUAUUACUGACACUCAGAGACGAAAGCUAGGGUAGCAAAUGGGAUUAGAUACCCCAGUAGUCCUAGCCGUAAACGAUGGAUACUAGAUGUUGUGCUUAUGCAGUAUCGUAGCUAACGCGUUAAGUAUCCCGCCUGGGGAGUACGCUCGCAAGGGUG
rnacentral:rRNA from 1 species